rnacentral:rRNA from 1 species
GUGCAGCAGUCGCGAAAACUCCGCAAUACGCGAAAGCGUGACGGGGCUACCCCGAGUGUCGUCCGCUGAGGACGACUUUUCCACGCUGUAAGGAGGCGUGGGAAUAAGGAGAGGGCAAGUCUGGUGUCAGCCGCCGCGGUAAUACCAGCUCUCCGAGUGGUAGGGACGUUUAUUGGGCCUGAAGCAUCCGUAGCCGGCUGGACAAGUCCUCCGUUAAAUCCAGCGAUUCAAUCGUUGGACUGCGGGAGAUACUGUUAGGCUAGGGGGCGGGAGAGGCCGACGGUAUUUCCGGGGUAGGGGUAAAAUCCUAUAAUCCCGGGAAGAACACCAGUGGCGUAGGCGGUCGGCUAGCACGCGCUCGACAGUGAGGGACGAAAGCUGGGGUAGCGAACCGGAUUAGAUACCCGGGUAGUCC